CCUACGGGUGGCAGCAGUGAGGAAUAUUGGUCAAUGGGCGCAAGCCUGAACCAGCCAAGUCGCGUGCAGGAAGACGGCCCUACGGGUUGUAAACUGCUUUUGUAAGGGAGUAAACGCAGGUACGUGUACCUGUCUGAAUGUAUCGUAUGAAUAAGGAUCGGCUAACUCCGUGCCAGCAGCCGCGGUAAUACGGAGGAUUCCAGCGUUAUCCGGAUUUAUUGGGUUUAAAGGGUGCGUAGGUGGGGGGUUAAGUUAGAUGUGAAAUUCUGCGGCUUAACCUCGGAAUUGCCUUUGAUACUGGGAGGCUUGAGAGGAGUUGAGGUAGGCGGAAUGUGUGGUGUAGCGGUGAAAUGCUUAGAGAUCACGCAGAACACCGAUUGCGAAGGCAGCUUACCAAGCUACUUCUGACGUUGAGGCACGAAAGUGUGGGGAUCAAACAGGAUUAGAUACCCCAGUAGUC
rnacentral:rRNA from 1 species